AAGAAGGGAGUGGAUUCAUAAGGGAUUCCAAAGGCCUGAGGACUUGGCACAAAAUGGGUGUCAGCUUUUUGGUGACAAGAAAGGAUGAGUAAGACACUAUUAUGGUUUAAAGUACAGCGAGAGAAUAGUAAAUUUACGAAGGCAGAAGUGAAAAGUAGAAAGCGAAGAUGAUAUAGGAAUUUACCAGCUAGACAGAAGAGACAGGGAAAGAAACUGGCGUUGAUCAUACUGAACGCCAUCAUGAAGGAGGUUUGAGAUACUGCUUUUUCCUCUCUGUGAAGUCCUGAGUCCAUGGAAAGGCACAGAGAAGCUUGGGAAUAAUAAUGAAAACAUAAUUGCUCCAGGAGAGGCAGAGGAUGUUGACACAAACUUACAGACUGGGACUCCAAGGAUCAGCCAGAUGAAAUGCUAUGUGCAGAGUCUUCAUUUCCCAGCUCAGUGGUGGACAGCAGAGGACUCUAAGGAUCACCUCAUAAAUGAACUACCUUGACAUGCCCUGACCCAGGCUCUUUAUUUGGAAACCCAGGCUAGGACAGGAAUGAAGAGAAGCCAGACCUUCUGACUCGAAGGUCCAGCCACCUCUUGGGAUGCACACGUUUCUCUUCAACUGCGUGAUGUGAACUGCGUCACAUGGUCAAAUUAUAAUGAAGAAAGGAACCUCUCUUGAGUACAAAGAGCUACCUAUGGUGGUCUGGAGCCGGAGGACCACAGCAUCAAAGGAUAUAAGAUGCAUAGCCAACUGAGGAACCUGAGCAAUUAAAGAGAUCCACAGUUAAGUCACACUUAACUGGCACUUGUGGAAGCCCCGCAAGGCCUGAAGGAGAGCUGACAUAGGCACCCCAGAGAGCCAGAAUCUGGAUCCCAUCUUAAUAAGGCCAUGAACACCAGUGGAGAAGAGGCAGAAACACCAAUGGAUAAGGAACAUUCACAUCUUUCUUCCCAUGUGCCUCUAAGUGCCAGUGCAGGCCCCACAGGCCAAGCUACAGGGAGAAAGGAGAUGACGCAAAGGAACCUAACUGGACUUUAAUCACUAGAAGUGAGAAGA
rnacentral:lncRNA from 1 species